UACGUAGGGGGCAAGCGUUGUCCGGAAUUAUUGGGCGUAAAGCGCGCGCAGGCGGCCUAUUAAGUCUGAUGUGAAAGCCCGUGGCUCAACCACGGAGGGCCAUUGGAAACUGGGGAACUUGAGAACUGAAGAGGAGAGUGGAAUUCCACGUGUAGCGGUGAAAUGCGCAGAGAUAUGGAGGAACACCAGUGGCGAAGGCGACUUUCUGGUCUGUAACUGACGCUGAGGCGCGAAAGCGUGGGGAGCAAACAGG
rnacentral:misc_RNA from 1 species